GAUGAACGCUGGCGGUAUGCUUAACACAUGCAAGUCGAACGGACUCUUCGGAGUUAGUGGCGGACGGGUGAGUAACGCGUGAGAAUCUGGCUUUGGGUUCGGGACAACCACUGGAAACGGUGGCUAAUACCGGAUGUGCCGAGAGGUAAAAGAGAAAUUGCCUGAAGAUGAGCUCGCGUCUGAUUAGCUAGUUGGUGAGGUAAAGGCUCACCAAGGCAGCGAUCAGUAGCUGGUCUGAGAGGAUGACCGGCCACACUGGGACUGAGACACGGCCCAGACGCCUACGGGAGGCAGCAGUGGGGAAUUUUCCGCAAUGGGCGAAAGCCUGACGGAGCAAUACCGCGUGAGGGAAGAAGGCUCUUGGGUUGUAAACCUCUUUUCUUAGGGAAGAACAAAAUGACGGUACCUAAGGAAUCAGCAUCGGCUAACUCCGUG
rnacentral:rRNA from 1 species